CAGGUGGUCUGUCUGCAAGACAGAAGUGUC
rnacentral:piRNA from 1 species